GCCUCUGUGGCCUAAUGGAUAAGGCAUCGGUCUCCUAAACCGGGGAUUGUGGGUUCGAGUCCCACCAGAAGUA
rnacentral:tRNA from 1 species